UUUCUAUUGCACGGCACUUCCUUAUUUCUCCUUUUCCAUUCUUUCUUUUCCUUUUCUUUAUGUCUUUCUUCCUUCUACUCUCCCUCACACUCAUGCACACACUAACGCACAGAGAGUAAGAAAGAGAGGGAGAGAAAUACUGUGAAGGUGCCGAGAAAAGGAAGAAGAAAAAGAGAAAAGGAAAAAGAAGAAGAGAAGAAAGAAGGGGGGAAUCCGGCCAUAGGUGAUUUUUGAGUGGUUCAUCGCAAGACGUUGUCUAGGAAUCUAUAGUUGAGCUUGUUAUCCACAAAGCCAAGAUACUGAUGUUUUGGCUACAGGAUCAGCGGGCCUAGAGGAUGACCCCAUAGCACGGUAUUUGGGGUACUGCGACUGAGGCAUAUCGCUGGUGUCGUAGCUAUGUGGACUUGGGCGUCCUAUUUUGGUAGUCUUUUGUUGUUGGCUUGUGUCCUACGUGACACUUGUAUUUUGUAGAGCCAGUCUUUUGGUAUGUAAUUAAUGUUAAGUUUAAGCCUUAAACAUAUAGACGUAUUUAUGGCUCUUUAUAAUUAGCAGUUCUGUUAUAGAAGUGUUUUUCCGCUA